ACACUGUACAAUGGAUUUCUCGGCUCCCACAUCGAUGAAGAACGCAGCAAAGCGCGAUAGGUAGUGUGAAUUGCAGAAUACCGUGAAUCAUCGAAUUUUUGAACGCAUAUUGCGCCCGGGUUUGAGCCUGGGCAUGUCUGCCUCAGCGUCGAUUUCCUCAUGGCAAUGCCGAGAUGGUUCUUGCAAAAGUACUAUUUUGCAU
rnacentral:rRNA from 1 species